ensembl:lncRNA
CAAGAAGAGAAAACACAGAUACACAAAGAGACACACCGAGAAGCGCAUGCAAAGACAGAGGCAAAGACUGGAGCAGCACAGCGAUAAACCAGAGUGCCAGAGAUUCCAGGAGCCGCCGGACACGCUAGGCAGGCAAGAGAGAAUUCUUUCCUGGGAGCGCUCACAGCAGCACAGCGCCACAAGCACCAUGAUUCCAGACUUUCAGACUCCAGACUGAGACGGUAAAUGUCUGCUGUUUUAAGUCACCAGAUCAAGUGGUAAUUUAUGAAGGCUGUCAUAGGAAAUGAAUAUACCAACAUUACAGAAAUUGUGUUAAAAAACACUCAUUAAAAUGCAGGAAAAGGAGUAAAGGCAGAGCAAGACACAAGGACGUGAGAUAAGAGAUGACAGUAAACCUGCCUUAAGUGAAAGCUUAUGCAUUUGCAUAUAAAACAUCUGUACAAGGGCAGUGUGGCAGCAGAGGAUGGGCCCAGAUCCCAUAAGAAGAAAAGCAAACCUUCAACAGAUUGUUAGAAAAGUUUCUGCACCUCCAUAGAAGUGGAAGACAAAAAAAGAAAGAAAAUUGAGACUAAUAAUGCCUCCAAAGAGCUGAGUAAACACCAGAGACCACAACUGGAGUUACUACUUGGUUAAUCCUGAAAAAUUAGGAUCAUUAACUAACUAUCGUGCAUAUGUGUGUGUCUGUGCAUGUGUGUAUGUGUGUGAACAUUUGUAUAAAACAAAGAAAAUAAG